ensembl:lncRNA uncharacterized LOC111942683
GAUGGCGCCGGGACAGGAGGUGACACCGCUGGGGACAGGAGGGGACAGGAGGUGGCACCGCUGGGGACAGGGGGAGGCCGCAAAGGCAGGAACGGGAGAGACGCGGGAAAUCGGGAAUUGUCGGGGAAUUGUCGGGAAUUUAUCCGGGAAUUAUUGGGAAUUUAUUCGGGAAUUGUCGGGAAUUUAUCCGGGAAUUUAUCCGGGAAUUGUCGGGAAUUUAUCCGGGAAUUUAUUCGGGAAUUGUUCGGGAAAUCGGGAAUUGUCGGGGGAUUUAUUCGGGAAUUGUCGGAAAUUAUUCGGGAAUUGUCGGGAAUUUAUCCGGGAAUUUAUUCGGGAAUUGUCGGGAAUUUAUCCGGGAAUUUAUUCGGGAAUUGUUCGGGAAAUCGGGAAUUAUCGGGGGAUUUAUUCGGGAAUUGUCGGGAAUUUAUCCGGGAAUUGUCGGGGAAUUUAUUCGGGAAUUAUUGGGAAUUUAUUCGGGAAUUAUUGGGAAUUUAUUCGGGAAUUGUCGGGGGAUUUAUCCGGGAAUUAUUGGGAAUUUAUUCGGGAACUGUUCGGGAAAUCGGGAAUUGUCGGGGAAUUUAUUCCUGACGUUUUUCGGGGAUUACUCGGGAAAUUCAGGAAUUAUUCGGGAAUUUUUCGGGAGUUAUUCGUGAUUUUUUUUCGGGAAUUUAUCCGGGAAUUUAUUCGGGAAUUAAUUCGGGAAUUACUCGGGAAAUUCGGGAAUUCUUUGGGAAUUAUUCGGGAAUUACCCGGGAAUUAUUAGUGAUUUUUUUCGGGAAUUUUUUCGGGAAUUAUUCGGGAAAUCGGGAAUUGUCGGGGAAUUUAUUCCUGACAUUUUUCGGGAAUUCUUUGGGAAUUAUUCGUGAUUUUUUUCGGGAAUUUUUUCGGGAAUUGUUUGGGAAAUCGGGAAUUUAUUCGGGGAUUCUUUGGGAAUUACUCGGGAAUUAUUCAGGAGUUUAUUCGGGAAUUAUUUGGGAAUUAUUUGGGAACAAUUCGGGAAUUAUUCGGGAAUUGUUCGGGAAUGGGAACAACACAAGGGCGGGGCCGGGGAGGAACCGGAAAUUCGGGAAUUUGGGAAUUCGGGAACAACGCAAAGGGCGGGGCCGGGAAAUUCGGGGCCACGGAGCGACCUUGGAAUGUCGGGGAGGGGCCCGGGAAUUUGGGGAAUUAUCCGGGAAUUAUUCGGGAUUUAUUUGGGAAUUUAUCGGGAAUUAUUCGGGAAUUAUUUGGGAAUUAUUUGAGAGUUAUUUGGGAAUUCUUUGGGAAUUAUUCGGGAAUUCUUUGGGAAUUAUUUGGGAAUUUUUCGGGAAUUAUUUUGGGAUUAUUUGGGAAUUUGGGGACAAGGACAGAGGGACAGGGUCCCCAAAAUGGGGGGAGGGGUCCCCAUGUGUGCCCGGGUGGAUUUUGGGGUUCCCGAGUGAAUUUUUGGGGUUCCCGAGUGGAUUUUUGGGGUUCCCGAGUGAAUUUUUGGGGAUCCCGAGUGGAUUUUUGGGGUUCCCGGGUGAAUUUUUGGGGUUCCCGAGUGGAUUUUUGGGGUCCCCGGGUGGAUUUUUGGGGAUCCCGGGUGAAUUUUUGGGGUCCCCGGGUGGAUUUUGGGGUUCCCGAUUGGAUUUUGGGGUCCCCGAUUGGAUUUUGGGGUUCCCGAUUGGAUUUUUGGGGUCCCCGGGUGGAUUUCGGGGUUCCCGAUUGGGUUUUUGGGGUCCCCGGGUGGAUUUUUGGGGUUCCCGAUUGGAUUUUUGGGGUUCCCGAGUGAAUUUUUGGGG